GCGGCCUAUCAGCUUGUUGGUGAGGUAAUGGCUCACCAAGGCAUCGACGGGUAGCUGGUCUGAGAGGAUGAUCAGCCACACUGGGACUGAGACACGACCCAGACUCCUACGGGAGGCAGCAGUGGGGAAUCUUGCACAAUGGGCGCAAGCCUGAUGCAGCAACGCCGCGUGCGGGAUGAAGGCCCUAGGGUUGUAAACCGCUUUCAGCAGGGAAGAAACUGACGGUACCUGCAGAAGAAGGUGCGGCCAACUACGUGCCAGCAGCCGCGGUGACACGUAGGCACCAAGCGUUGUCCGGAUUUAUUGGGCGUAAAGAGCUCGUAGGCGGUUCAGUUAGUCGGGUGUUAAAACUCUGGGCUCAACCCAGAGACGCCACUCGAUACUGCUGUGACUAGAGUGCGGUAGGGGAGCGGGGAAUUCCUGGUGUAGCGGUGAAAUGCGCAGAUAUCAGGAGGAACACCAGUGGCGAAGGCGCCGCUCUGGGCCGUAACUGACGCUGAGGAGCGAAAGCAUGGGUAGCAAACAGGAUUAGAUACCCUGGUAGUCCAUGCCGUAAACGUUGGGCACUAGGUGUGGGUCUCAACCAACGAGAUCCGCGCCGUCGCUAACGCAUUAAGUGCCCCGCCUGGGGAGUACGG
rnacentral:rRNA from 1 species